rnacentral:rRNA from 1 species
CCGUAGGUGAACCUGCGGAGGGAUCAUUACUGAGUUUACGCUCUACAACCCUUUGUGAACAUACCUAUUACUGUUGCUUCGGCGGGUAGGGUCUCCGUGACCCUCCCGGCCUCCCGCCCCCGGGCGGGUCGGCGCCCGCCGGAGGAUAAACAAACUCUGAUUUAACGACGUUUCUUCUGAGUGGUACAAGCAAAUAAUCAAAACUUUUAACAACGGAUCUCUUGGUUCUGGCAUCGAUGAAGAACGCAGCGAAAUGCGAUAAGUAAUGUGAAUUGCAGAAUUCAGUGAAUCAUUGAAUCUUUGAACGCACAUUGCGCCCGCCAGCAUUCUGGCGGGCAUGCCUGUUCGAGCGUCAUUUCAACCCUCAAGCUCUGCUUGGUGUUGGGGCCCUACAGCUGAUGUAGGCCCUCAAAGGUAGUGGCGGACCCUCCCGGAGCCUCCUUUGCGUAGUAACUUUACGUCUCGCACUGGGAUCCGGAGGGACUCUUGCCGUAAAACCCCCAAUUUCCAAAGGUGACCUCAGAUCAGGUAGAUG